GCUUGUACCUGUGGAAAUGCCUGACAAAAUCUGUGGUUGUUCACCAGAGUCAUUGAGGGUCAGUCCAGGAAAGACUGUUGCUGUGGUCACAAUGAAUGGACGAUAUGAUCUAAGCAUGCCCGAGUUAAUUUGUGAGGCAUGCCAAGCCACUUGGACUGCUGCAGUGGCCGACCUAAACAGAAGUGACUACUGGCCUGCAACUCUUCAAUUUGCCACAAUUUAUGCUACAGAUAUAUUUUUCUCAUUUGAGGAAAUGAAGAUGGCGGCACCGGGAUUGUCCUGCCAAGCAUUUUUAAGAAUGCUGGAUCAGCGAACUGUUUGCUUUGGUCGUACUGGCAAGAUCUCAGCAGACAGUUUUCAGAAAAGUUUUUUUUGAGUGGGAGGCUGUGCAAUUUGAGGUGGACAAUAUAUGCAAGGAAGAGCCCUUCAUCUGCCCUGCAUGCACCCCAAAUAUGCUCGCCGUUUCCGUAGAUGGAAACCGCAAGCAUUACCGUUUCAAGAAUGCUGUUAGGUACUUCAA